rnacentral:rRNA from 1 species
UACGUAGGGUGCGAGCGUUGUCCGGAAUUACUGGGCGUAAAGAGCUCGUAGGUGGUUUGUCGCGUUGUCCGUGAAAACUCACAACUCAAUUGUGGGCGUGCGGGCGAUACGGGCAGACUGGAGUACUGCAGGGGAGACUGGAGUUCCUGGUGUAGCGGUGGAAUGCGCAGAUAUCAGGAGGAACACCGGUGGCGAAGGCGGGUCUCUGGGCAGUAACUGACGCUGAGGAGCGAAAGCGUGGGGAGCGAACAGG